rnacentral:lncRNA from 1 species
GGUAGCGUGGCGUGUUAUCCACCGUGGGAUCUGCGCGGUCCAAAUGCACCAGGUGCAUCCAAUACGGAGGCAAUGUACAGGGUGAGAACAGUAUGCCGAAUUCACAUCAGACUCUUAGAGGCUAACAGAACAAAGUUACAGAGAGAUGAGAACAUAAAGUCUUUAUAAAAUCAGUUGGAGAAGCUCACAGGACAUGAUCGAGAAGUCUUUAUAAAAUCAGUUGGAGAAGCUCACAGGACAGG